GAUGAACGCUGGCGGCGUGCCUAAUACAUGCAAGUCGAGCGAACGGAUGAGAAGCUUGCUCCUCUGAUGUUAGCGGCGGACGGGUGAGUAACACGUGGAUAACCUACCUAUAAGACUGGGAUAACUUCGGGAAACCGGAGCUAAUACCGGAUAAUAUUUUGAACCGCAUGGUUCAAUAGUGAAAGACGGUUUUGCUGUCACUUAUAGAUGGAUCCGCGCUGCAUUAGCUAGUUGGUAAGGUAACGGCUUACCAAGGCAACGAUGCAUAGCCGACCUGAGAGGGUGAUCGGCCACACUGGAACUGAGACACGGUCCAGACUCCUACGGGAGGCAGCAGUAGGGAAUCUUCCGCAAUGGGCGAAAGCCUGACGGAGCAACGCCGCGUGAGUGAUGAAGGUCUUCGGAUCGUAAAACUCUGUUAUUAGGGAAGAACAUAUGUGUAAGUAACUAUGCACGUCUUGACGGUACCUAAUCAGAAAGCCACGGCUAACUACGUG
rnacentral:rRNA from 1 species